GAAAAGGGCACAUUGGUAAGAGUCGAAGAAGCUGAAGAAGGAAAGGAAGGUCGCUGGAAGGAAGGAGCUGAGCGUUGGAUUUAACGAACCGUUGGACCCGACCCGACCCAAUUAGCAGAUUCUGAUCCACUACCCAAAACUAGGCUCGAAGGACCUAAUUGUAGAUCUUUGAACGAAUUGGAAAUUUGUUGAAGACCCGAAACAAGCUCGAAAAGUCUACAACAAGUGCUAAGUAGACCAAUGUCGGAGGCGGGAAUGUGUGGAGCCGUGCGGCUACAGUGGAGACCCUUAGAUCGAGUCCUCUUUGUCCAUGUCGUUUUCAAUGCCAUUUUGAUGUUUAUUUUGGGAAAACUUAUGCUAUUUUGUAACUGUUUUUCUUUUGUUGUGU